CGAGCGAACGGACGAGAAGCUUGCUUCUCUGAUGUUAGCGGCGGACGGGUGAGUAACACGUGGAUAACCUACCUAUAAGACUGGGAUAACUUCGGGAAACCGGAGCUAAUACCGGAUAAUAUUUUGAACCGCAUGGUUCAAAAGUGAAAGACGGUCUUGCUGUCACUUAUAGAUGGAUCCGCGCUGCAUUAGCUAGUUGGUAAGGUAACGGCUUACCAAGGCAACGAUGCAUAGCCGACCUGAGAGGGUGAUCGGCCACACUGGAACUGAGACACGGUCCAGACUCCUACGGGAGGCAGCAGUAGGGAAUCUUCCGCAAUGGGCGAAAGCCUGACGGAGCAACGCCGCGUGAGUGAUGAAGGUCUUCGGAUCGUAAAACUCUGUUAUUAGGGAAGAACAUAUGUGUAAGUAACUGUGCACAUCUUGACGGUACCUAAUCAGAAAGCCACGGCUAACUACGUGCCAGCAGCCGCGGUAAUACGUAGGUGGCAAGCGUUAUCCGGAAUUAUUGGGCGUAAAGCGCGCGUAGGCGGUUUUUUAAGUCUGAUGUGAAAGCCCACGGCUCAACCGUGGAGGGUCAUUGGAAACUGGAAAACUUGAGUGCAGAAGAGGAAAGUGGAAUUCCAUGUGUAGCGGUGAAAUGCGCAGAGAUAUGGAGGAACACCAGUGGCGAAGGCGACUUUCUGGUCUGUAACUGAC
rnacentral:rRNA from 1 species